rnacentral:rRNA from 1 species
UACGAAGGGGGCUAGCGUUGCUCGGAAUCACUGGGCGUAAAGCGCACGUAGGCGGAUUGCUAAGUCAGGGGGUGAAAUCCUGGAGCUCAACUCCAGAACUGCCUUUGAUACUGGCGACCUUGAGUCCGGGAGAGGUGAGUGGAACUGCGAGUGUAGAGGUGAAAUUCGUAGAUAUUCGCAAGAACACCAGUGGCGAAAGGCGGCUCACUGGUCCGGUACUGACGCUGAGGUGCGAAAGCGUGGGG